rnacentral:rRNA from 1 species
UGUAGCUUGCUACAUGACCUAGCGGCGGACGGGUGAGUAAUACUUAGGAAUCUGCCUAUUAGUGGGGGACAACGUUCCGAAAGGAGCGCUAAUACCGCAUACGCCCUACGGGGGAAAGCAGGGGAUCUUCGGACCUUGCGCUAAUAGAUGAGCCUAAGUCGGAUUAGCUAGUUGGUAGGGUAAAGGCCUACCAAGGCGACGAUCUGUAGCGGGUUUGAGAGGAUGAUCCGCCACACUGGGACUGAGACACGGCCCAGACUCCUACGGGAGGCAGCAGUGGGGAAUAUUGGACAAUGGGCGCAAGCCUGAUCCAGCCAUGCCGCGUGUGUGAAGAAGGCCUUAUGGUUGUAAAGCACUUUAAGCGAGGAGGAGGCUUACCUGGUUAAUACCUAGGAUAAGUGGACGUUACUCGCAGAAUAAGCACCGGCUAACUCUGUGCCAGCAGCCGCGGUAAUACAGAGGGUGCAAGCGUUAAUCGGAAUUACUGGGCGUAAAGCGCGCGUAGGUGGCCAUUUAAGUCAAAUGUGAAAUCCCCGAGCUUAACUUGGGAAUUGCAUUCGAUACUGGGUGGCUAGAGUAUAGGAGAGGAAGGUAGAAUUCCAGGUGUAGCGGUG